AUGUUCCCUUUGGUAGCACAUAUACUAAGUUUGGAACUAUACAGAGAAGAUUAGCAUCGCCCCUGCACAAGGAUGACAUGCACGUUCGUGAAGCAUUCCAUAUUAAA
rnacentral:snRNA from 1 species